rnacentral:rRNA from 1 species
ACUCCUACGGGAGGCAGCAGUGGGGAAUAUUGGACAAUGGGGGCAACCCUGAUCCAGCCAUGCCGCGUGUGUGAAGAAGGCCUUUUGGUUGUAAAGCACUUUAAGCAGGGAGGAGAGGCUAAUGGUUAAUACCCAUUAGAUUAGACGUUACCUGCAGAAUAAGCACCCGGCUAACUCUGUGCCAGCAGCCGCGGUAAUACAGAGGGUGCGAGCGUUAAUCGGAAUUACUGGGCGUAAAGCGAGUGUAGGUGGCUCAUUAAGUCACAUGUGAAAUCCCCGGGCUUAACCUGGGAACUGCAUGUGAUACUGGUGGUGCUAGAAUAUGUGAGAGGGAAGUAGAAUUCCAGGUGUAGCGGUGAAAUGCGUAGAGAUCUGGAGGAAUACCGAUGGCGAAGGCAGCUUCCUGGCAUAAUAUUGACACUGAGAUUCGAAAGCGUGGGUAGCAAACAGGAUUAGAUACCCUGGUAGGCGUAGU